GCACUAGUGGUAUAGUGGUAGCAUAGGUCCUUGCCAGUUGAGCGGGCGAGCCUGCCAGCUCGCAGCGCAGCACCGCGGACCAGACCCGAGUUCGAUUCUCGGCUAGUGCA
rfam:Chlamydomonas reinhardtii strain CC-503 cw92 mt+ CHLREscaffold_68 genomic scaffold, whole genome shotgun sequence.